GACGAACCGUGCGAACGUUGUUCGGAUUCACUGGGCUUAAAGGGCGCGUAGGCGGGCUCGCCAGUCUGUGGUGAAAGCCCCCAGCUCAACUGGGGAAGUGCCGUGGAUACUGCCGGUCUGGAGGAGGGUAGGGGCAUCUGGAACGCUGGGUGGAGCGGUGAAAUGCGUUGAUAUCCAGCGGAACUCCGGUGGCGAAGGCGAGGUGCUGGACCCUUUCUGACGCUGAGGCGCGAAAGCCAGGGGAGCAAACGGG
rnacentral:rRNA from 1 species